GGAAACGAUAGAGAAAGCUUGCUUUUUCUAGGCGUCGACCGGCGCACGGGUGAGUAACGCGUAUCCAACCUGCCCAUCACUUGGGGAUAACCUUGCGAAAGUAAGACUAAUACCCAAUGAUAUCUCUAGAAGACAUCUGAAAGGGAUUAAAGAUUUAUCGGUGAUGGAUGGGGAUGCGUCUGAUUAGCUUGUUGGCGGGGUAACGGCCCACCAAGGCGACGAUCAGUAGGGGUUCUGAGAGGAAGGUCCCCCACAUUGGAACUGAGACACGGUCCAAACUCCUACGGGAGGCAGCAGUGAGGAAUAUUGGUCAAUGGACGAGAGUCUGAACCAGCCAAGUAGCGUGCAGGAAGACGGCCCUAUGGGUUGUAAACUGCUUUUAUAAGGGAAUAAAGUGAGUCUCGUGAGACUUUUUGCAUGUACCUUAUGAAUAAGGACCGGCUAAUUCCGUGCCAGCAGCCGCGGUAAUACGGAAGGUCCGGGCGUUAUCCGGAUUUAUUGGGUUUAAAGGGAGCGUAGGCCGGAGAUUAAGCGUGUUGUGAAAUGUAGAUGCUCAACAUCUGCACUGCAGCGCGAACUGGUUUCCUUGAGUACGCACAAAGUGGGCGGAAUUCGUGGUGUAGCGGUGAAAUGCUUAGAUAUCACGAAGAACUCCGAUUGCGAAGGCAGCUCACUGGAGCGCAACUGACGCUGAAGCUCGAAAGUGCGGGUAUCGAACAGGAUUAGAUACCCUGGUAGUCCGCACGGUAAACGAUGGAUGCCCGCUGUUGGUCUGAAUAGGUCAGCGGCCAAGCGAAAGCAUUAAGCAUCCCACCUGGGGAGUACGCCGGCAACGGUGAAACUCAAAGGAAUUGACGG
rnacentral:rRNA from 1 species